GAUUUUUAUGGAGUUUGGUGUUAUAAUCGGUUCAGCAAUAGGAGCUGGGGAAGGCGGUGAAAAUCCGUCACGAUCUCGUCACUGUGAUGAAAUAAUUAUUUCUCAGUCAGGAUACCAGCUUUUGUUAAGAAGAUUUU
rnacentral:ncRNA from 2 species